ensembl:lncRNA novel transcript
AAUAUCUCGUCAUGGACUGUGCCCCGCUCGAGCCUCUCCACAUGCAGCAGGAAGGAAAGUGGAGGGAGCUGCUCCUUUCCGUAGCCGGGGUGCCCACCCCAACCAGGCUGCCUCUGCCACCCAAGACAGAGGUUCUCUGAUAAUAAUUUGUGGGGCUUGUUUCCAGAGACCACACCUGAAGCUGCCAACUCCCCGGAGGGAAGGUCCUGAUUAAUGGCCGAUGAAUUUCUCCUUAAGGCCCUGAAACUGCCUACUCAGAACCAAGCCAGUUUUUCCUGCCUGUCCUGUUUGGGCAGGCAGAGGAGGCAGCUAGAAACCCAUUAUGCAGGGGAUGGGGACCAAACCAAUGCACAACUCCUACGUACUGAUGGUGGUCUUACGUUUCCCUAAGUUUCUGCCGACUAAACUGUGCACACGUUCUCAGGACCUCCUGAAGCUGCGUCACAGGCGCUGAUCAAAGAACACAACCAAGAGUUUGGCCUUUUCUUCAGCACUGGGAAUUGUGAUCCAAAGCUUUUCCUGAUGAGGCACAAAGUUGGAGAAACAAAACGCAAACUAAGCAACAAUGAAACAGAACAGAGUGAAUCUGCUGUAGCUCAAGAGAGGACGUAGCUGCCCCCACCCCGCAUCCCUGGGCUCGGGUUUGCCUUGCUGACCUCUGCUGCCACCUGGUGCCGCACAGAGAAACUGAGGAGAAACCACAUCAGUCUCCUUCAGCCUCAGCUUCACAUCUGUGGGUCAAGCAACCCUUUCAGAAGCUGUAUAAUGUGGGAAAGCUUUCCUCUCAGGAAAAUGCACACAUCCAACUUUGAGAAGAUGCCCUUGGGGGCGCUUCAAGGAUCCUAGAUAAUAACCCCCUUUCCCGAACAUCCAAGAACCUAAGUUUUUUUUUUUUUUUUGAGAAAGUCUCGCUCUCUCUCCCAUUCUGGAGUGCAGUGGCGUGAUCUUGGCUCACUGCAAGCUCCACCUCCCAGGUUCAAGCCAUUCUCCUGCCUCAGCCUCCCAAGUAGCUGGGGCUACAGGCACCUGCCACCACACCCGGCUAAUUUUUUUGUAUUUUUAGUAGAGACGGGGUUUCACCGUGUUAGCCAGAAUCGUCUUGAUCUCCUGACCUUGUGAUCCACCCGCCUCGGCCUCCCAAAGUGCUGGGAUUACAGGUGUGAGCCACCACACCUGGUCCAAGAACCCAACUUUUAGAUCUAGAGUGAUGUCAGCAUGACAUUGAUUUCCUGAGGCCCAGGGGUGAAGGAGCUGAGGACAGCAGAGGGGUGAAGGAAGUCAGCUACAGACAGCAGCAGCUGAUGCACAGGCCUCCCAGCGCCUGAAGUCACCCGGAAUUGGGAAGUGCUCAGAAGCUUACAAAGCUGCCUCGAGACGGCACCGAAAGCGAAGGAAGCUCCUGCUCCUCCUAAAGCCGAAGCCAAAGCGAAGGCCUUAAAGGCCAAGAAGGCAGUGUUGAAAGGUGUCCGCAGCCACACGCAAAAAAGAAGAUCCGCAUGUCACUCACCUUCAGGCGGCCCAAGACACUGCGACUCCGGAGGCAGCCCAGAUAUCCUCGGAAGAGCACCCCCAGGAGAAACAAGCUUGGCCACUAUGCUAUCAUCAAGUUUCCGCUGACCACUGAGUCGGCCGUGAAGAAGAUAGAAGAAAACAACACGCUUGUGUUCACUGUGGAUGUUAAAGCCAACAAGCACCAGAUCAGACAGGCUGUGAAGAAGCUCUAUGACAGUGAUGUGGCCAAGGUCACCACCCUGAUUUGUCCUGAUAAAGAGAAGGCAUAUGUUCGACUUGCUCCUGAUUAUGAUGCUUUCGAUGUUGUAACAAAAUUGGGAUCACCUAAACUGAGUCCAGCUGGCUAACUCUAAAUAUAUGUGUAUCUUUUCAGCAUAAAAAAAAUAAUGUUUUUCAUAAGAAUGACAACUUAAUUAGAAUCAAAUCUAUAAGCUUUAAGAUUUUACGUUUCUAGUAAGUAUAAUAUUAGCUUAUUUGACUAGAACUCAAGCAGAAUAGGAAUUUAUGCUUGUUUUAUAUUCAAUAAUGAUAAUUUUGAAGAUAUAGUUGUUUUAUUACACCAAAAAUACUAUAUUAAUCUUAUUUAACUAAGUUUUAUCCAAAUCAUGUUAACUUAAGAAACAUUUGAUCAGUUCCUAUAUUUCUAGGAGUUUGGUGAAUAUUUAUUUAUAAAUGCUUAUUUUUUUCCAAGCCAAGUUAGAAUAGAGCACUUUUAGAGGUUUUCAUAAAUGAAUUUUGCAAUGC